rnacentral:lncRNA from 1 species
AUGCAGGCUAAGGACAGCAAUCCACCAGAUGGUGGCUAUGGAUGGGUUGUGGUAGUGUCAGCCUUCAUGGUGAUGGGCCUCACUGUUGCUGUCCUCAAGACUUUUGGUCUGUUCUUUGUUGAAAUCCAGCAGCACUUUGAUGAACUUGCAAGCACCACUUCCUGGAUCACAUCAGUAACUAUUGCCGUCUUUCAUUUAGGAGCAGGUCUGUUUCCUGUGUCGAAGGAGAGCAUGUGUUUCCACUCCCAAGGUCUGCCCUUGCAACAGGCUGUUCAGUUUACCACAGCAAGGAUCCUCCCCAUCACCUUCACCAGCCUUCUCUCGGGUACUGAUGUACACCUCCCAGCACCCUUCUCUUUGCACUCUGGUUGUCAUCCUUUCCAUUGCUUGCACAUUUUCUGUGUGUUGCCUUUACAUGUUUCAGACUCUGGAGUCAAGCUAUUUUACCCAUUUCCAGUUCUGUGGCUAGCUUCUUUCUUUCUCUUGCUACCCCAUGUUUAAUUGCUGCUUGUUUAUUCUCCUUCCUUACUAUUUAAAAAUUGAGAUUUGGUAAUAUUUCUUCUCCAUCUGCAGACCUUUAUCUUGUCUUCAAGAACUUUCAUGGACGUUAUCCUGUAUCUACUUUUCUCUUCUUCUUUUUCUAUCAUAUUGUAUGAUUCACCAGCUGUAUAUACCUUAUCAUGUCCCAUCAACUACAUCUUAAGAGAAUGACUGAAUUUCAGUACCCUUUUUACAUGCUUAUAAAAUGAUCAUAUUUUUGCUGUAAAAGCUGAUGAGACAUUUGAGGUUUGUAUAACUACUGACACAUCUUUCUGCUGUCAGACAGUGUACAUCCUGCAGAUUUUGCAACAACUAGUACUCUGUCAGGUUUAUUUCACUCAUCCUAGCUAGCAAAUUCUCUUAAUUCUGAUCUUAAACCCAGGUGAAUGUACAACAACCUGCCCCUACAAACUAUUAUAAAAUGUUCCUUGCUGGCUGCUCUCUCUUAAUCAUUGUCUUCCUACUUAUUUCAGUUUAGAAGCAUGGUCCCCGUUAACCAAACUGAGUUUUAUGCACGAACUCCCCGGGAUAUUUUACAGAUGUUGGGAGCUGGUUCCUGCCAGGUGGUACUUGAGAACCCCCUAGUGGCCAUGGCUAUUUAAAGAAAUCCUACGGCCUUAACCCGGACUCUGCGAUGCUGAUGGAAAGAACAGCCAGGCAGUAAAACUGAUCCUUAAUUAAGAAAAGAUAUCCCUGACAUUUCAGGUGUUUCCAGAGAGUGACUAGAGACCAAAGCAGCUGCUGCACCAUCAGAUCUGUACCACCUGCACCUUUGCCUUAUGUUGAAUAGCCCCUACACUCUGUUGAGAGAAACUGUACCACUAAAUGAAGAUUUAAAAAAUGAGCUGACAAUUUUCUGUAAAAAGUAUUACCACAAAAUAAACCCUAGUUUUUGGUCCUUUGAAAACCUUUA